AUUGUACGCUGGCGGCAGGCCUAACACAUGCAAGUCGAACGAGUGGCGGACGGGUGAGUUAUGUCUGGGAAACUGCCCGAUGGAGGGGGAUAACUACUGGAAACGGUAGCUAAUACCGCAUACCAUCGGAUGUGCCCAGAUGGGAGUAGCUAGUAGGUGGGGUAACGGCUCACGUAGGCGACGAUCCCUAGCUGGUCUGAGAGGAUGACCAGCCACACGGGAACUGAGACACGGUCCAGACUCCUACGAGAGGCAGCAGUGGGGAAUAUUGAACACGGGGCGCAACCCUGAUGCAGCCAUGCCGCGUGUAUGAAGAAGUCCUUCGUGUUGUAAAGUACUUUCAGCGAGGAGGCGUUACUCGCAGAAGAAGCACCGGCUAACGCCGUGCCAGCAGCCGCGGUAAUUC
rnacentral:rRNA from 1 species